ensembl:snRNA U6 U6 spliceosomal RNA
GCUCACUUCAGCUGCAUAUGCUAAAAUUGGAAGGACGAGCAUGGCUUCUGCCCAUGGAUGACACACAAAUCCAUGAAGCAUUUCAUAUUAAA